GAUCCUGGCUCAGAUUGAACGCUGGCGGCAGGCCUAACACAUGCAAGUCGAACGGUAACAGAAAGCAGCUUGCUGCUUUGCUGACGAGUGGCGGACGGGUGAGUAAUGUCUAGGAAACUGCCUGAUGGAGGGGGAUAACUACUGGAAACGGUAGCUAAUACCGCAUAACGUCGCAAGACCAAAGAGGGGGGACCUUCGGGCCUCUUGCCAUCGGAUGUGCCCAGAUGGGAUUAGCUUG
rnacentral:rRNA from 1 species